rnacentral:lncRNA from 1 species
GAAGACUGCUGUGAAACCCAGAACCAGACGCUGAAUCUGCUGGCGCCUUAAUCUUGGAUUUCCCAGCCUCCAGAACUAUUAACCCUGAGCUAACUGCUGCCAAUCCUCCUCUCUUUGCUGAGGAAGGCUGGCCCUGAGCUAACAUCCAUGCCCAUCUUCCUCUACUUUAUAUGCUGGAUGCCUACCACAGCAUGGCGUGCCAAGCGGUGCCAUGUCUGCACCUGGGAUCCGAACCAGUGAACCCCGGGCCGCCGAAGCGGAAGGGAACCCGUAACCUGAAUCAAGUCAUGAGGAAGCACCAGGCAAGUCCCACCGAACGUUCUACAAAACAACUGGUUUAUGUUCUUCAAACAUGUGAAUGUAAUGCAAGACGAAGACGUAGUAAGGAACUGUUCCAGAUUAAAGAAGAUUAAAGACACAUGACAAUUUAAUGCGUAUGUGACCCCUGGUUGAAGCUUGUACUAGAGGGGAAAAACGCUAUAAGGAAUUUUAUUGGUAUAAUUGACAAAAUUGGAAUGUGGAUUGUAGAGCAGGGGCUGGCCCAAUGACGUAUUGGUUAAGUUCACACACUCCACUUCAGUGGCCUGGGGUUCGAGGGUUCAGAUCCCGAGUGCGGGUUUUCACACUGCUCAUCACGCCAUGCUGUGGUGGCGUCCCACAUACAAAACAGAGGAAGCUAGGCACAGAUGUUAGCUCAGUGACAAUCUUCCUCAAGCAAAAAGAGGAAGAUUGGCAACAGAUGUUAGCUCAGGGCCAAUCUUCCCCACCAAAAAAAAAAAAAAUCUGGAUCGCAGAAAAAAGCAUAUAUCAAGGUUAAGUGUUCUGAUUUGAUAACUAUUUUGUGGUUAUGCAAGAAAAUAUACUUGUUUCUGGAACUAUAUAAUGAAGUAUUAAGAGUAUAAUAAAGACAUGAUCUAUAUAACCUCAAAUUGUUCAGAAAAAAUAAACAAUUACAGAGGGAAAGAAAGAGAGAGAUAAUCAAAUAAAUGUGAUAAAAUGUAAAAAAAAAGAUUAUUCUGGAUAAAGGCUAUAUGAGAGUUCUCUGUAAUUUUGGCAACAUUUCUUUACAU